rnacentral:rRNA from 1 species
ACGGGAGGCAGCAGUGGGGAAUAUUGGACAAUGGGGGAAACCCUGAUCCAGCGACGCCGCGUGAGUGAAGAAGUAUUUCGGUAUGUAAAGCUCUUUAAGCAGGAAAGAAAAUGACGGUACCUGCAGAAUAAGCCCCGGCUAACUACGUGCCAGCAGCCGCGGUAAUACGUAGGGGGCAAGCGUUAUCCGGAUUUACUGGGUGUAAAGGGAGCGUAGACGGCAAUGCAAGUCUGAAGUGAAAGCCCGUGGCUUAACUGCGGGACUGCUUUGGAAACUGCAUGGCUAGAGUGUCGGAGAGGUGAGUGGAAUUCCCAGUGUAGCGGUGAAAUGCGUAGAUAUUGGGAGGAACACCGGAGGCGAAGGCGGCUCACUGGACGAUCACUGACGUUGAGGCUCGAAAGCGUGGGGAGCAAACAGGAUUAGAUACCCUGGUA